UUGCUCUUCAACGAGGAAUGCCUAGUAAGCGCGAGUCAUCAGCUCGCGUUGACUACGUCCCUGCCCUUUGUACACACCGCCCGUCGCUCCUACCGAUUGAAUGGUCCGGUGAAGUGUUCGGAUCGCGGCGACGGGGGCGGUUCGCCGCCCCCGACGUCGCGAGAAGUCCAUUGAACCUUAUCAUUUAGAGGAAGGAGAAGUCGUAACAAGGUUUCCGUAGGUGAACCUGCGGAAGGAUCAUUGCCGUGACCCUUAAACAAAACAGACCGCGAACGAGUCACCCGUGCCGCCGGGCUCCGGCCCGGCACGCUGCCCCCCCGAACCUCCCGCGGGGAAGGGGGGGCCGCGAAAAGGAACCCACGGCGCCCCGGGCGCCAAGGAACACCAGUACUACCUCCUGCCCCGCGGAGCGGUCGGCCCGCCUUCCGCUCCCAGGGCAGCGGUUACACCUUAAUCGACACGACUCUCGGCAACGGAUAUCUCGGCUCUCGCAUCGAUGAAGAACGUAGCAAAAUGCGAUACCUGGUGUGAAUUGCAGAAUCCCGCGAACCAUCGAGUUUUUGAACGCAAGUUGCGCCCGAAGCCUUCUGGCGGAGGGCACGUCUGCCUGGGCGUCACGCCAAAAGACACUCCCAACACCCCCCCGCGGGGCGAGGGACGUGGCGUCUGGCCCCCCGCGCCGCACGGCGAGGUGGGCCGAAGCAGGGGCUGCCGGCGAACCGCGCCGGGCGCAGCACGUGGUGGGCGACAUCAAGUUGUUGUUCUCGGUGCAGCGUCCCGGCGCGCGGCCGGCCAUUCGGCCCUAAGGACCCAUCGAGCGACCGAGCUUGCCCGCGGACCGCGACCCCAGGUCAGUCGGGACUACCCGCUGAGUUUAAGCAUAUCAAUAAGCGGAGGA
rnacentral:rRNA from 1 species